UACGUAGGGGGCAAGCGUUGUCCGGAUUUAUUGGGCGUAAAGAGCGUGUAGGCGGUUUGGUAGGUCCGCUGUGAAAACUCGAGCUCAACCUCGAGACGCCGGUGGAAACCAUCAGACUAGAGUCCGGAAGAGGAGAGUGGAAUUCCUGGUGUAGCGGUGAAAUGCGCAGAUAUCAGGAAGAACACCCGUGGCUAAGGCGGCUCUCUAGUACGGUACUGGACGCUGAGACGCGAAAGCGUGGGGAGCGAACAGG
rnacentral:rRNA from 1 species